GUAGGUGAACCUGCGUAGGGAUCAUUA
rnacentral:rRNA from 1 species